UAAGUUUCUAACCCCGGGGUCUGUUCGGAGCGGCCGUGAGACCGGGGGGAGCCGCACGUGGCGUGGGCGCCGCUGGAGCGCCGGGAGGGCGGCCGUGCUGGGAAUGAGCUCUGCUCCACUCAAUUACGCUUAAAAAACUUUAAAAAAAAAGAAAAAAAAAGAAUAAGAGCUAAGACGAAGUGGAAAAAAUUGGAUUUUCUGAGAUUGGAAGGCGGCUGUUUCUCGAAAUGUGCCCGAGCCAGCCCCACGCCGCUGCGGGAGAAAACAAGACAAGGCGUGGAGAUGACUUUACUCCCUGUGAUCAGUAGGAGAAAAGCCCAGUUCAAGUCUUGCUUCCUUCUUCAAUCUGUCCUGUAUUGGCACGACAUAAACAAUUUACUGAGUACUUCUGUGCGGCGAGUUGGAUGGCGUUCCAGUUUGGUGGUUUAAAAAAAAAAAAAAAAAAAGGAAAAAAAAAAAAAAAGAAGGAAAAAGUAUAACUGCAGCCGGCGACACUGCGAGGUGGCUUUUUUUUUUUUUUUUAGGGGGGGAGGGGGGAAAAAGAAUAAAUAUUUUUGUUGUUGUUGUUUGCAGACGCGCUCAACGUGGUGUCAUCCUAGCAAAAACCGGCUCGGCAAAAAAAAAAAAGCUUCAGGACACUGCUGAAUCGACCACUUUCUGGC